GUCCCAGACUCCUACGGGAGGCAGCAGUGGGGGAUAUUGGACAAUGGGGGGAACCCUGAUCCAGCGACGCCGCGUGAGUGAAGAAGUAUCUCGGUAUGUAAAGCUCUAUCAGCAGGGAAGAAAGAAAUGACGGUACCUGAGUAAGAAGCCCCGGCUAACUACGUGCCAGCAGCCGCGGUAAUACGUAGGGGGCAAGCGUUAUCCGGAAUCAUUGGGCGUAAAGAGUUCGUAGGCGGCACGUAAAGUCUGGUGUUAAAGGCAGAGGCUCAACUUCUGUACGGCACUGGAUACUUGCGAGCUAGAAUGCGGUAGAGGUAAAGGGAAUUCCUGGUGUAGCGGUGAAAUGCUUAGAUAUCAGGAGGAACAUCGGUGGCGUAAGCGCUUUACUGGGCCGUAAUUGACGCUGAGGAACGAAAGCCAGGGUAGCAAAUGGGAUUAGAUACCCUGGUACA
rnacentral:rRNA from 1 species